rnacentral:lncRNA from 10 species
GCCCUCUCAAAAGAUAUCUAUCUCUACUUCUUCUCGCCUACCACCAACUUCUUGGAAGCUUCUUUUUUUUCAAAUACAAAGAUUAAGAUCUUGUCAUCCAUAGACACUUUCUGAAAGAAUCUGUAAAGGAUGUUCAUCAGCAGAAUGUACAAUGAACACAAAGGAGUCAAAUGACAGAAACAAGUUAUAACCGCCGAAACUGAUAAAAAUGUGUUGGUAAAUUUAAUCAAAUAUUCACUAUAAGGAGUAAAUAUAAUCAUUAAAAAUGUGUUCUUAUGACAGAUGUGGAAAAAAGUCUAAACAAUGAGAGGUGGAAUAUUGUUCCGUGGGUAGUUAAAACAUGAAACAUUUCUUAUACUAUCCAGAGAAAAGAUGAAGAUACUGAUUCAGUCUGGAUCUUGUUAGAAAAUUUUGUGGCUAAUUGUGUAUGUUGAAAAAUUUGAAUGAACACUAAAAAAUAUAAUAUGAUUUCCAAAGUAGCAGAAAAAUGAAAAAAAAAAGGUUCAUCAAUUCAACUUACAUGUAAAAAAGGAAAAAAUAUUUUUUAAAGUUUA